rnacentral:rRNA from 1 species
GGAAGACAGUAGGAGCAGAGGGUGGAUGCCUCGGCGCUGCGUGCCGAUGAAGGACGUGGCAUUGCUGCGAUAAGCGGGGGGGAGCCGCGAGCGGGCGUUGAUCCUCCGAUUUCCGAAUGGGGCAACCCCACGACGUAUAGUCGUGACCGCCACUGGCGGAGGGCACCGGGGGAACUGAAACAUCUCAUGUACCCCGAGGAACAGAAAGUAUCCCCGUAGUAGCGGCGAGCGAACCGGGGGAGGCCUAAACGGGCUGCGUGCCAAGCCGGCAGGCGUUGCGCAGCGCGGGUUGGAAGACCAAGCAGGGUGUGCUGCCGUGCACCACUGGGAAGGAAGCUGGUAUGCGAAGACGUCUGGAAAGCGUCGCCAGAGACCGUGACAGCCGGGUAGCAGACACGAGCGUUCGCCUGGGUUUGGUUCUUGAGUAGCGCCGGACACGAGAAAUCCGGCGUGAAGCUGGGGGGCCCACCUCCCAAGGCUACAUACACGCAGUGACCGAUAGCGCACAGUACCGUGAGGGAACGGUGAAAAGUACCCCGGCGAGGGGAGUGAAAGAGAUCCUGAAACCGUCUGCUUACGUGCAGUCGAAGGGGAUGAGCGCAAGCUUCCCUGACGGCGUGCCUUUUGGAGUAUGAUCCGGCGAGUUACCCUCCGUGGCCGGUUAAGCCAGUCAUAGGCGGAGCCACAGCGAAAGCGAGUCUGAAGAGGGCGCGCGUCGCGGGGGGUAGACCCGAAACCGCUUGAGCUAUCCAUGGUCAGGCUGAAGCGUCCGUAACAGGACGUGGAGGGCCGCACCGGUGUAGGUUACAAACUGCUCGGAUGAACUGUGGAUAGGGGUGAAAUGCCAAUCGAAAGCGGAGAUAGCUGGUUCUCCCCGAAAUGCAUUGAGGUGCAGCCCGGGUUUUGGCGCUGAAUGAGGUAGAGCACUGUUGUUGUGCGGGGGCUUCACCGCCUACCAAGCGACGGCAAACUCCGAAUGCGUUCAGCGUACCUCCGGAGUGAGACAGUGGGCGCAAACGUUCAUUGUCAAAAGGGAAACAACCCAGACCUGCAGCUAAGGUCCCGAAAUCUCUGCUGAGUGGUAAAGGAUGUGUCGUUGCACAAACAACCAGGAGGUUGGCUUAGAAGCAGCCACCCUUCAAAGAGUGCGUAACAGCUCACUGGUCGAGUGACGGCGCGCCGAUAAUCUAGCGGGGCAAAGCAGAGUACCGAAGCUCAGGAUGCAGGCAACUGCCUGCGUGGUAGGGGAGCGUCGACAGUGCGGAGAAGCAUGAGCGCAAGUCCGUGUGGAGCGCUGUCGAGUGCGAAUGCCGGAACGAGUAACAGAGAAGGGGCGUGCGAACCGCCCCCACCGAAAGCCUGAGGGUUCCGCCGCAAGGGUGAUCCGCGGCGGGUUAGUCGGGCCUAAGGGGCGCCUCCGCAGGCGACCACCGAUGGACAACGGGUAGAUAUUCCCGUACUAUGGUUCGUUCGUUUGACCAAUGCCGGAUGCUGAUGGGGAGCUGCCGCGGCGAGACGUGCGCCGUCCAAGCUGGUAGGGAGGCGCGGGUUAGUCCCCGCGUCGAUGACCGAGAGGUGAGUGCGAGUGGGGGUAGCAAUACCCACCGCAAGGGCAGGGCACCUAGGCAGUCAAGAAAGGCCGGCUCGGGAGAACGACCAUACCCGUACCGCAAACCGACACAGGUAGGCUGGCUGAGCAAGCUAAGGUGGACGAGUGAUCCCGGGUUAAGGAACUCGGCAAAUUACCCCCGUACCUUCGGUAGAAGGGGGGCUCCUGGCGGUGACCCGCCUUGCGCGGUGAGCGGCUGGGAGCGACACAAACCAGGCCCAGGCGACUGGAUAACAGAACCACAGGUCCCUGCUGAAGUCGUAAGACGACGUAUAGGGGCUGACGCCUGCCCAGUGCUGGAAGGUUAAGGGGAGGCGUGCAAGCGCCGAACCGAAGCCCCAGUGAACGGCGGCUGUAACUAUAACAGUCCUAAGGUAGCGAAAUUCCUUGUCGGGUAAG